GGAGCCGGGUGCUGACGUCACGCGGGACCCGGCAGAUGGCGGUGGUCAGUUCCAACAUCUGAAAACCGAUGACGUCAUCCUGGCGUGCAGCGUGGCGCUGGUUGGAUCGAACGUCGAGGAGGCGGGGCUUGGGCAGCUGGCUCGACCAAUAGGUGCUGACUCCCAGCCGACCGUCAGCUCCUACUUCAAGCCCGUCGAGAAGGCCUCGUAAUCUCCCGCAGCGGUCGGUUCUUGCGGACGUCAGUCAGUGGGCGAUGCACCUGAAUAUUGCACGCUUCUUUUGUUCACCGCCAAUUAUACCGGACCGUGUGCUAGUUUCAUUAGUUAAACAGCUGGCUCCACCUACUGUUCAUAAUUUGACGUACGUGUUCCAAAGCCUGGCAAUUUGCUGGUGAAGUGGAGCUGAACUAGAUGUUUUCGAAACCAGACUCCGUGCGAGUAUCUGUUACAGACGCGUGGGCUUGCUUAGGUAGCGCGUGACCCUCGAGACCUCCGACCGUGGCGAAUAUGGUGGACUCGCUGGUCUGGGCGCCAGCACUGAUUCUAUAUUGUAACCGCUCACAUUGUUUUCACCAUAUUGAUGCCGUAUGUAUGACUCUCUGGACCUGCGCUGUCCGCCAGCCCGGCCGGGUGUCUGGGGGCGAGCCGCGCAGUGCGCUAUGCCCCCCCCAAGAGACCGCUGCGCACCCAGCUCAUAGCACUUGGAGUCGCCACUUGAUGAACAUCUCAUAUCUUGUCGAAUGUGUGGGAUGGGUUGAUGGUGCAGUGUUGUUUUAGCCGUUGCUGAAAUAAAGAUGCGGCUGGAUGUGUA